rnacentral:rRNA from 1 species
CGCGGCCUAUCAGCUUGUUGGUGGGGUAAUGGCCUACCAAGGCGACGACGGGUAGCCGGCCUGAGAGGGCGACCGGCCACACUGGGACUGAGACACGGCCCAGACUCCUACGGGAGGCAGCAGUGGGGAAUAUUGCACAAUGGGCGAAAGCCUGAUGCAGCGACGCCGCGUGAGGGAUGACGGCCUUCGGGUUGUAAACCUCUUUCAGCAGGGAAGAAGCUUUUGUGACGGUACCUGCAGAAGAAGCACCGGCUAACUACGUGCCAGCAGCCGCGGUAAUACGUAGGGUGCGAGCGUUGUCCGGAAUUAUUGGGCGUAAAGAGCUUGUAGGCGGUUUGUCGCGUCUGCUGUGAAAAUUCAGGGCUUAACCCUGGACGUGCAGUGGGUACGGGCAGACUAGAGUAUGGUAGGGGAGACUGGAAUUCCUGGUGUAGCGGUGGAAUGCGCAGAUAUCAGGAGGGACACCGAUGGCGAAGGCAGGUCUCUGGGCCAUUACUGACGCUGAGAAGCGAAAGCAUGGGGAGCGAACAGGAUUAGAUACCCUGGUAGUCCAUGCCGUAAACGUUGGGCGCUAGGUGUGGGGAACCUUCCACGUUCUCCGUGCCGUAGCUAACGCAUUAAGCGCCCCGCCUGGGGAGUACGG